rnacentral:rRNA from 1 species
UACAGAGGGUGCAAGCGUUAAUCGGAAUUACUGGGCGUAAAGCGUGCGUAGUCGGUUAUUCAAGUCGGGCGUGAAAGCCCCGGGCUCAACCUGGGAAUUGCGUCCGAUACUGUUUAGCUAGAGUUCGGCAGAGGGAAGUGGAAUUUCCGGUGUAGCGGUGAAAUGCGUAGAUAUCGGAAGGAACAUCAGUGGCGAAAGCGACUUCCUGGACCAGAACUGACGAUCAGGCACGAAAGCGUGGGGAGCAAACAGGAUUAGAUACCCUGGUAGUCCACGCCAUAAACGAUGACAACUAGACGUUGGGAGGGUAAGCCUCACAGUGUCGCAGCUAACGCGUUAAGUUGUCCGCCUGGGGAGUACGGCCGCAAGGUUGAA